UACGGAGGGUGCAAGCGUUAUCCGGAUUUACUGGGUUUAAAGGGUGUGUAGGCGGACUUUUAAGUCAGCGGUGAAAUCUCCGGGCUCAACCCGGAAACUGCCAUUGAUACUAUUGGUCUUGAACGUUGUUGAGGUGGGCGGAACGGGUCAUGUAGCGGUGAAAUGCAUAGAUAUGACCCGGAACACCGAUUGCGUAGGCAGCCCACUAAGCAACGAUUGACGCUGAGGCACGAAAGCGUGGGGAUCAAACAGG
rnacentral:rRNA from 1 species